rnacentral:rRNA from 1 species
CCCUUAGAAGUCCGGGGCCGCACGCGCGCUACACUGAAGGAAUCAGCGUGGCUUUCUCCCUGACCCGAAAGGGUUGGGAAACCCGUUGAAUCUCCUUCGUGAUAGGGAUUGGGGCUUGAAAUUGUUCCCCAUGAACGAGGAAUUCCCAGUAAGCGCGAGUCAUAAGCUCGCGUUGAUUACGUCCCUGCCCUUUGUACACACCGCCCGUCGCUACUACCGAUUGAACGGUUUAGUGAGGGCCUCGGAUUGGUCUCGGCCCGCUCUUUACCGGGCGGCGCCGUUGGUCGAGAAGACGCUCGAACUUGAUCGUUUAGAGGAAGUAAAAGUCGUAACA